rnacentral:rRNA from 1 species
GGGUUGUGAGGUUAAGCGACUAAGCGUACACGGUGGAUGCCCUGGCAGUCAGAGGCGAUGAAGGGCGUGCUAAUCUGCGAUAAGCGCCGGUAAGGUGAUAUGAACCGUUAUAACCGGCGAUACCCGAAUGGGGAAACCCAGUGUGAUUCGUCACACUAUCAUUAACUGAAUCCAUAGGUUAAUGAGGCGAACCGGGGGAACUGAAACAUCUAAGUACCCCGAGGAAAAGAAAUCAACCGAGAUUCCCCCAGUAGCGGCGAGCGAACGGGGAGGAGCCCAGAGCCUGAAUCAGCAUGUGUGUUAGUGGAAGCGUCUGGAAAGGCGCGCGAUACAGGGUGACAGCCCCGUACACAAAAGCGCAUGUGCUGUGAGCUCGAUGAGUAGGGCGGGACACGUGGUAUCCUGUCUGAAUAUGGGGGGACCAUCCUCCAAGGCUAAAUACUCCUGACUGACCGAUAGUGAACCAGUACCGUGAGGGAAAGGCGAAAAGAACCCCGGCGAGGGGAGUGAAAAAGAACCUGAAACCGUGUACGUACAAGCAGUGGGAGCCCCACCACCAAAGCAUUCUCUGGUGUUGAAGGCCCUGCAAAGCAGCAUCGCGGUGGCGGAGCGUCGUUUGCGACGCCCAACACACAAAACAAGCGGUGAAUGCUUUGGGGUGGGGUGACUGCGUACCUUUUGUAUAAUGGGUCAGCGACUUAUAUUCUGUAGCAAGGUUAACCGAAUAGGGGAGCCGGAGGGAAACCGAGUCUUAAUUGGGCGUUAAGUUGCAGGGUAUAGACCCGAAACCCGGUGAUCUAGCCAUGGGCAGGUUGAAGGUUGGGUAACACUAACUGGAGGACCGAACCGACUAAUGUUGAAAAAUUAGCGGAUGACCUGUGGCUGGGGGUGAAAGGCCAAUCAAACCGGGAGAUAGCUGGUUCUCCCCGAAAGCUAUUUAGGUAGCGCCUCGUGAAUUCAUCUCCGGGGGUAGAGCACUGUUUCGGCUAGGGGGCCAUCCCGGCUUACCAACCCGAUGCAAACUGCGAAUACCGGAGAAUGUUAUCACGGGAGACACACGGCGGGUGCUAACGUCCGUCGUGAAGAGGGAAACAACCCAGACCGCCAGCUAAGGUCCCAAAGUCAUGGUUAAGUGGGAAACGAUGUGGGAAGGCCCAGACAGCCAGGAUGUUGGCUUAGAAGCAGCCAUCAUUUAAAGAAAGCGUAAUAGCUCACUGGUCGAGUCGGCCUGCGCGGAAGAUGUAACGGGGCUAAACCAUGCACCGAAGCUGCGGCAGCGACGCUGAUGCGUUGUUGGGUAGGGGAGCGUUCUGUAAGCCUGUGAAGGUGUGUCGUGAGGCAUGCUGGAGGUAUCAGAAGUGCGAAUGCUGACAUAAGUAACGAUAAAGCGGGUGAAAAGCCCGCUCGCCGGAAGACCAAGGGUUCCUGUCCAACGUUAAUCGGGGCAGGGUGAGUCGACCCCUAAGGCGAGGCCGAAAGGCGUAGUCGAUGGGAAACGGGUUAAUAUUCCCGUACUUGGUGUUACUGCGAAGGGGGGACGGAGAAGGCUAUGUUGGCCGGGCGACGGUUGUCCCGGUUUAAGCGUGUAGGUGUGUGUUCCAGGUAAAUCCGGUUCACUUUAACACUGAGGCGUGACGACGAGGCACUACGGUGCUGAAGCAACAAAUGCCCUGCUUCCAGGAAAAGCCUCUAAGCAUCAGGUAACACGAAAUCGUACCCCAAACCGACACAGGUGGUCAGGUAGAGAAUACCAAGGCGCUUGAGAGAACUCGGGUGAAGGAACUAGGCAAAAUGGUGCCGUAACUUCGGGAGAAGGCACGCUGACACGUAGGUGAAGUGAUUUACUCAUGGAGCUGAAGUCAGUCGAAGAUACCAGCUGGCUGCAACUGUUUAUUAAAAACACAGCACUGUGCAAACACGAAAGUGGACGUAUACGGUGUGACGCCUGCCCGGUGCCGGAAGGUUAAUUGAUGGGGUCAGCGCAAGCGAAGCUCCUGAUCGAAGCCCCGGUAAACGGCGGCCGUAACUAUAACGGUCCUAAGGUAGCGAAAUUCCUUGUCGGGUAAGUUCCGACCUGCACGAAUGGCGUAAUGAUGGCCAGGCUGUCUCCACCCGAGACUCAGUGAAAUUGAACUCGCUGUGAAGAUGCAGUGUACCCGCGGCAAGACGGAAAGACCCCGUGAACCUUUACUAUAGCUUGACACUGAACAUUGAGCCUUGAUGUGUAGGAUAGGUGGGAGGCUUUGAAGUGUGGACGCCAGUCUGCAUGGAGCCGACCUUGAAAUACCACCCUUUAAUGUUUGAUGUUCUAACGUGGACCCGUAAUCCGGGUUGCGGACAGUGUCUGGUGGGUAGUUUGACUGGGGCGGUCUCCUCCUAAAGAGUAACGGAGGAGCACGAAGGUUGGCUAAUCCUGGUCGGACAUCAGGAGGUUAGUGCAAUGGCAUAAGCCAGCUUGACUGCGAGCGUGACGGCGCGAGCAGGUGCGAAAGCAGGUCAUAGUGAUCCGGUGGUUCUGAAUGGAAGGGCCAUCGCUCAACGGAUAAAAGGUACUCCGGGGAUAACAGGCUGAUACCGCCCAAGAGUUCAUAUCGACGGCGGUGUUUGGCACCUCGAUGUCGGCUCAUCACAUCCUGGGGCUGAAGUAGGUCCCAAGGGUAUGGCUGUUCGCCAUUUAAAGUGGUACGCGAGCUGGGUUUAGAACGUCGUGAGACAGUUCGGUCCCUAUCUGCCGUGGGCGCUGGAGAACUGAGGGGGGCUGCUCCUAGUACGAGAGGACCGGAGUGGACGCAUCACUGGUGUUCGGGUUGUCAUGCCAAUGGCACUGCCCGGUAGCUAAAUGCGGAAGAGAUAAGUGCUGAAAGCAUCUAAGCACGAAACUUGCCCCGAGAUGAGUUCUCCCUGAGACUUAGAGUCUCCUGAAGGAACGUUGAAGACGACGACGUUGAUAGGCCGGGUGUGUAAGCGCAGCGAUGCGUUGAGCUAACCGGUACUAAUGAACCGUGAGGCUUAACCUUACAACGCCGAAG